UAGGAUUGGAAAACAUUCAUACCCCGUGAGUCUCAGGGGCCUCAGGAGAGGGUCGGGCAAUAGACACCUCGUGUCCCUAAGACCUGUGGUAUCCUGUUCUCCUGGCUCUCCUCUCUCCCAAGGUUUUCUCAUCCGCAACUGCACGGUCACUGCCAAUGCUGAGUGCACCUGUUCCAAGGGCUGGCAGUGCAGGGACCAGGAAUGUACGGAGUGUGACCCUCCUCUAAACCCUGCACUGACUAGCCAGCCCUCUGAGGCCCCCAGCCCCCAGCUGCCACCACCCACCCACUUACCUUAUGCCACAGAGAAGCCAUCCUGGCCCCCACAAAGGCAGCUUCCCGACUCAACUGUCUAUAGCCGCCUGCCAUCCCAAAGACCUCUGUGCAGCUCCGACUGUAUCCGGAUCUUUGUGACCUUCUCCAGCAUGCUUCUUGUCUUCGUCCUGGGUGGGAUCUUGUUCUUCCAUCAAAGAAGAAAUCAUGGGCCAAAUGAAGAUAGCCAGGCAGUACCUGAAGAGCUUUGUCCUUACAGCUGCCCUAGGGAGGAGGAGGGCAGUGUCAUCCCUAUCCAGGAAGACUACCGGAAACCUGAGCCUGCUUCCUACCCUUGAUGCGGUGCUGGGGGGUCGGAGCGGGGCGGCUUUCCACUGAGGUAGCAUCCAGAGAACUCUGGCUCCUGCCCUACCACCCUCAUCAGAACAGUUUCCUGUGUAUACUCGACGGAUUGCCCUUCUGAGACCGACAGGGACAAGAGCAGGAGCCCGGUGUAUGGGGGAGACUCAGGCUCUAGCUGUAAA
rnacentral:lncRNA from 1 species